GUGAGAGGAACCAGGUAACUAGGUAGAUCAGUGAGAGGAACCAGGUAACUAGGUAGAUCAGUGAGAGGAACCAGGUAACUAGGUAGGUCAGUGAGAGGAACCAGGUAACUAGGUAGGUCAGUGAGAGGAACCAGGUAACUAGGUAGGUCAGUGAGAGGAACCAGGUAACUAGGUAGAUCAGUGAGA